rnacentral:rRNA from 1 species
UACAGAGGUCUCAAGCGUUGUUCGGAUUCAUUGGGCGUAAGGGUGCGUAGGCGGCGCGGUAAGUCGGGUGUGAAAUCUCGGAGCUUACUCCGGAACUGCAUUCGAUACUGCCGUGCUUGAGGACUGGAGAGGAGACUGGAAUUUACGGUGUAGCGGUGAAAUGCGUAGAUAUCGUAAGGAAGACCAGUGGCGAAGGCGGGUCUCUGGACAGUUCCUGACGCUGAGGCACGAAGGUCAGGGAGCAAACGGG